rnacentral:rRNA from 1 species
UACGGAGGGUGCAAGCGUUAUCCGGAAUCACUGGGUUUAAAGGGUGCGUAGGCGGCACAAUAAGUCAGGAAGUGAAAGGCUGUAGCUUAACUAUGGAAUUGCUUUUGAUACUGUUGAGCUUGAAUUGGGUUGAGGUUAGCGGAAUGAGUCAUGUAGCGGUGAAAUGCAUAGAUAUUGACUUUAGAACACCAAUUGCGAAGGCAGCUAACUGGGCCUUGAUUUGACGCUGAGGCACGAAAGCGUGGGGAGCGAACAGGAUUAGAUACCCGCGUAGUCC